CCUACGGGAGGCAGCAGUGAGGAAUAUUGGUCAAUGGACGAGAGUCUGAACCAGCCAAGUAGCGUGAAGGAUGACUGCCCUAUGGGUUGUAAACUUCUUUUAUAAAGGAAUAAAACGAGGCACGUGUGCCUUUUUGCAUGUACUUUAUGAAUAAGGAUCGGCGAACGCCGGGCCAGCAGCCGCGGUAAUACGGAGGAUCCGAGCGUUAUCAGGAUGUAUUGGGUUUAAAGGGAGCGUAGAUGGGUUGUUAAGUCAGUUGUGAAAGUUUGCGGCUCAACCGUAAAAUUGCAAUGGAUACUGGCAGUCUUGAGUACAGUUGAGGUAGGCGGAAUUCUUGGUGUAGCGGUGAAAUGCUUAGAUAGCACGAAGAACCCCGAUUGCGAAGGCAGCUUACUAAACUGUGACUGACAUUGAUGCUCGAAAGUGUGGGUAUCAAACAGGAUUAGAUACCCGGGUAGUC
rnacentral:rRNA from 1 species